AGGUGUGAACCCCUCUGACCCUGCUCCUUCGUGUCCCCCCGAUGUGCCUCUCGACCUCCAAGGCACUUUCAAAGGCUGGCAAAUUAGCACCGAGCCCCUGUCUGUGGAAAAGGAGGCUGACUGGCCGCGCUACAGCUGGAGUGUUAAGCAGCAGGAAGUCGACCUGCUGGCUGAGGGACUCUGGGAAGAUCUCCUAGACGUGUACCAGCCGAACGUCACCAUCAUGGA